rnacentral:rRNA from 1 species
UGGCGAACGGGUGAGUAACACGUGAGCAAUCUGCCCCUGACUCUGGGAUAACAGUUGGAAACAGCUGCUAAUACCGGAUACGAGCUUCGAAGGCAUCUUCAGAAGCUGGAAAGAACUUCGGUCAGGGAUGAGCUCGCGGCCUAUCAGCUAGUUGGUGAGGUAAUGGCUCACCAAGGCGUCGACGGGUAGCCGGCCUGAGAGGGUGACCGGCCACACUGGGACUGAGACACGGCCCAGACUCCUACGGGAGGCAGCAGUGGGGAAUAUUGCACAAUGGGCGCAAGCCUGAUGCAGCAACGCCGCGUGAGGGACGACGGCCUUCGGGUUGUAAACCUCUUUUAGCAGGGAAGAAGCGAAAGUGAC